rnacentral:rRNA from 1 species
CCUACGGGUGGCAGCAGUCGAGAAUCAUUCACAAUGGGGGAAACCCUGAUGGUGCGACGCCGCGUGGGGGAAUGAAGGUCUUCGGAUUGUAAACCCCUGUCAUGUGGGAGCAAAUUAAAAAGAUAGUACCACAAGAGGAAGAGACGGCUAACUCUGUGCCAGCAGCCGCGGUAAUACAGAGGUCUCAAGCGUUGUUCGGAAUCACUGGGCGUAAAGCGUGCGUAGGCUGUUUCGUAAGUCGUGUGUGAAAGGUGCGGGCUCAACCCGCGGACGGCACAUGAUACUGCGAGACUAGAGUAAUGGAGGGGGAACCGGAAUUCUCGGUGUAGCAGUGAAAUGUGUAGAUAUCGAGAGGAACACUCGUGGCGAAGGCGGGUUCCUGGACAUUAACUGACGCUGAGGCACGAAGGCCAGGGGAGCGAAAGGGAUUAGAUACCCGUGUAGUC